rnacentral:rRNA from 1 species
AUACGGAGGGAGCUAGCGUUGUUCGGAAUUACUGGGCGUAAAGCGCGCGUAGGCGGCUCAGCAAGUCAGGGGUGAAAUCCCGGGGCUCAACCCCGGAACUGCCUUUGAAACUGCUAGGCUAGAAUCCUGGAGAGGCGAGUGGAAUUCCGAGUGUAGAGGUGAAAUUCGUAGAUAUUCGGAAGAACACCAGUGGCGAAGGCGACUCGCUGGACAGGUAUUGACGCUGAGGUGCGAAAGCGUGGGGAGC